GAUGAUGCUCGAACCGUCUAAUCUAAUUACCCGCAAUUCGGCUUGAUAAGGUUCCCCUUGCAUAGUCCACUUAAAGUCGGUGCACUUCAAUUUGCUAAGUUUCUUUUGGCCAUUUGCCACCGUGACUAUGAGCGAGGGGGCCGUGGUGAUACUGGCCUUGACCUCCUUGGCAACUUGGAAAUCUAUGAAACUGUGUGUGCUCCCGGUGUCUAUGAGUAUGAC
rnacentral:lncRNA from 1 species